rnacentral:rRNA from 1 species
GACGAACGCUGGCGGCGCGCCUAACACAUGCAAGUCGAACGAGAGAUGAGGAGCUUGCUCUUCAAAUCGAGUGGCGAACGGGUGAGUAACGCGUGAGGAACCUGCCUCAAAGAGGGGGACAACAGUUGGAAACGACUGCUAAUACCGCAUAAGCCCACGGCUCGGCAUCGAGCAGAGGGAAAAGGAGCAAUCCGCCUUGAGAUGGCCUCGCGUCCGAUUAGCUAGUUGGUGGGGUAAUGGCCCACCAAGGCGACGAUCGGUAGCCGGACUGAGAGGUUGAACGGCCACAUUGGGACUGAGACACGGCCCAGACUCCUACGGGAGGCAGCAGUGGGGAAUAUUGCACAAUGGGGGAAACCCUGAUGCAGCGACGCCGCGUGGAGGAAGAAGGUCUUCGGAUUGUAAACUCCUGUUGUUGAGGAAGAUAAUGACGGUACUCAACAAGGAAGUGACGGCUAACUACGUGCCAGCAGCCGCGGUAAAACGUAGGUCACAAGCGUUGUCCGGAAUUACUGGGUGUAAAGGGAGCGCAGGCGGGAGAACAAGUUGGAAGUGAAAUCCAUGGGCUCAACCCAUGAACUGCUUUCAAAACUGUUUUUCUUGAGUAGUGCAGAGGUAGCCGAAAUUCCCGGUGUAGCGGUGGAAUGCGUAGAUAUCGGAAGGAACACCAGGGGCGAAGGCGGCUUACUGGGCACCAACUGACGCUGAGGCUCGAAAGUGUGGGUAGCAAACAGGAUUAGAUACCCUGGUAGUCCACACCGUAAACGAUGAUUACUAGGUGUUGGAGGAUUGACCCCUUCAGUGCCGCAGUUAACACAAUAAGUAAUCCACCUGGGGAGUACGACCGCAAGGUUGAAACUCAAAGGAAUUGACGGGGGCCCGCACAAGCAGUGGAGUAUGUGGUUUAAUUCGACGCAACGCGAAGAACCUUACCAAGUCUUGACAUCCCUUGACGAUGCUGGAAACAGUAUUUCUCUUCGGAGCAAGGAGACAGGUGGUGCAUGGUUGUCGUCAGCUCGUGUCGUGAGAUGUUGGGUUAAGUCCCGCAACGAGCGCAACCCUUAUGGUCAGUUACUACGCAAGAGGACUCUGGCCAGACUGCCGUUGACAAAACGGAGGAAGGUGGGGAUGACGUCAAAUCAUCAUGCCCUUUAUGACUUGGGCUACACACGUACUACAAUGGCGUUAAACAAAGAGAAGCAAGACCGCGAGGUGGAGCAAAACUCAGAAACAACGUCCCAGUUCGGACUGCAGGCUGCAACUCGCCUGCACGAAGUCGGAAUUGCUAGUAAUCGUGGAUCAGCAUGCCACGGUGAAUACGUUCCCGGGCCUU